UACAGAGGGUGCAAGCGUUAAUCGGAAUUACUGGGCGUAAAGCGUGCGUAGACGGUAGCGUAAGUCGGGUGUGAAAGCCCCGGGCUCAACCUGGGAAUUGCAUUCGAGACUGCUCUGCUAGGGUGCGGAAGAGGGAAGCGGAAUUUCCGGUGUAGCGGUGAAAUGCGCAGAUAUCGGGAAGAACACCCGUGGCGAAGGCG
rnacentral:rRNA from 1 species